UACGUAGGGGGCAAGCGUUGUCCGGAUUCAUUGGGCGUAAAGAGCGUGUAGGCGGCCAGGUAGGUCCGUUGUGAAAACUCGAGGCUCAACCUCGAGACGUCGAUGGAAACCAUCUGGCUAGAGUCCGGAAGAGGAGAGUGGAAUUCCUGGUGUAGCGGUGAAAUGCGCAGAUAUCAGGAAGAACACCGAUGGCGAAGGCAGGUCUCUCG
rnacentral:rRNA from 1 species